rnacentral:rRNA from 1 species
AUCAUGGCUCAGGAUGAACGCUAGCGGCAGGCUUAACACAUGCAAGUCGAGGGGCAUCGGGAGUAGCAAUACUUGCCGGCGACCGGCGCAAGGGUGCGUAACGCGUGAGCAACAUGCCCGUAUCAGGGGGAUAAUCCAUGGAAACGUGGUCUAAUACCCCAUAGUAAUUAUGUAAGGCAUCUUAUAUAAUUUAAAGCUUUGGUGGAUACGGAUUGGCUCGCGUGACAUUAGCUAGAUGGUAAGGUAACGGCUUACCAUGGCUACGAUGUCUAGGGGUUCUGAGAGGAAGGUCCCCCACACUGGAACUGAGACACGGUCCAGACUCCUACGGGAGGCAGCAGUGAGGAAUAUUGGACAAUGGAUGGAAAUCUGAUCCAGCCAUGCCGCGUGCCAGGAAGACGGCCCUAUGGGUUGUAAACUGCUUUUGUAUGGGAGCAAUAAGGGCUACGCGUAGUCCGAUGAGAGUACCAUACGAAUAAGCACCGGCUAACUCCGUGCCAGCCGCCGC